rnacentral:rRNA from 1 species
GUCCACACUGUAAACGAUGCAUACUGGGUGUCCGAAAUUCGUUUCGGGUACCGUAGCUAACGCGUUAAGUAUGCCGCCUGGGGAGUACGUACGCAAGUAUGAAACUCAAAGGAAUUGACGGGGCCCGCACAAGCGGUGGAGCAUGUGGUUUAAUUCGAUGAUACGCGAGGAACCUUACCAAGGCUUAAAUGUAGAUUGACCGGUUUGGAAACAGACUUUUCGCAAGACAAUUUACAAGGUGCUGCAUGGUUGUCGU